rnacentral:rRNA from 1 species
CCUACGGGUGGCAGCAGUGAAGAAUAUUGGUCAAUGGACGAGAGUCUGAACCAGCCAAGCCGCGUGCAGGAUGACUGUACUAUGGGUUGUAAACCUCUUUUAUCAAGGAAUAAAACGAGGCACGUGUGCCCUUAUGCAUGUACUUUAUGAACAAGGAUCGGCUAACUCCGUGCCAGCAGCCGCGGUAAUACGGAGGAUCCGAGCGUUAUCCGGAUUUAUUGGGUUUAAAGGGCGCGUAGGUGGGUUGUUAAGUCAGGUGUGAAAGUUUGCGGCUCAACCGCAGAAGUGCAUUUGAUACUGGCAGUCUAGAGUACAGUUGAGGUAGGCGGAAUUCGUGGUGUAGCGGUGAAAUGCUUAGAUAUCACGAAGAACCCCGAUUGCGAAGGCAGCUUACUAAACUGUGACUGACAUUGAUGCACGAAAGUGUGGGUAUCGAACAGGAUUAGAUACCCGGGUAGUC